CAACUCAGGCGCCAUCUCAGGUUGACCUUGAUCUUGCGCUCAAACAGUGGCAUUACUGUUCACGACUGGCGAGACAUAUGUAUGAUGAGGGACUACUGGACAGACAUGAGUUUUUGUCGUGGAUUGUGGAGAUAGUGGAGAGACAAAAACAGACUGAUGAUACUAUACUAAAACUGGUGCUGAAAGAAUUGUUACAGUAUCUUGAUGAGGUGACAUUAUCAGCACAGUUAUCGAGACGUCUAGCUUACGGUGCGGCACGUAGAAUCAGUCAGAUGUGUAA